rnacentral:miRNA from 1 species
UAUGACACUGAGUGCGGAGUGG